AGGAGCUGUCUCGCGUUUUUCCUGCCGGGCCAGACAGAAACACGCACUGCCAGGGAGGGCCGCAGACUUGGAAAACCAAGUGCUACUGCGCAUGGGUUCUUUCAAGGCAGGGACUGGGCUGGUGCUGAGCUGGGGGUCCACCUGGCCCACCUCCGAUGGAGAAGCGGUCACCCCAUCCCAGCAGGCUCUUUAGUGACGGAUCUCUGCGGCCAAGGCUGGCAAAGGCUGGUGGUACUCAAUAGCUGCGGCUUCAGCUUCGGGCACGGCCCGCGGAGGCUGCGCAAAGGGAAUUUUCCACUGUCAGGUUUCAUUCAGCUCACGCCACCGCCUUACUGUUUACAGCGAGCGGAAAGGUGCAGCCACCCCCGGGCGGGCGCAGCCUCGGUGGGAUGCGAGGGUGGGUAACGGGGGAGUUCUUGUGUGUCCUGACCCUGACGGCUCCACCUGGGGUGCGCGGAGGCGCUGUACCCAGAGAGGAGCAGGACCCUGGGUGGAGUAGAGGGCACAGGAAGCCACUGCGUGGCUGCCCUCCCUCCCUCCCUCCCUCCCUUGGAUGCUCCCUUGCCUGGGACUGAGAGAUGUCCCGCGUGGGUGCAGAGCCUGCAGGGAGAACUCAGGACGAAUGUAGGACUUUAAGACCCCAAGCUCAGAUUCUACAACGCCCAUGGGAUCAAGAGGCAGAACCAUUGACCUGAGGAAACUUGAAGGCUGCCGUCUGGCAUGCCUCCGAGUUGUCGCUCUGAAGAGCCCAGGCUUCAGUUCCCACCAGCAGGGACUCACAGACACACAUCUUUGGAUUUAGGUGAGUCACUGUCCUCGAAGGAGGGAGCAGCAGGUAUCCUGGUCAGACAGGAUUUAUGGGAAGCCUGGCUGGAUUCCACUUCUUCAGCCAGUCAUCCACCCCGGGGCCACACCGAAAGUCAGCUAUCUACAGCGAUGGAUGUCCUGUGUUUCGCUGGUAUCUUGAUGAUAACAGCAACUUCCUGAUUCCAUGGACCACAAGGACAGUGUGAUCUGAAAGUGCGGUUCUCCUGUGCAAUCUUCCUUCCAGGGGUUUUUGUUUGCAUCUGUACUGUUGUUAGAGCUGGGAGGGGGGGCGGGGGGAGCAGAUGGCUCAGUGGAUCAAACUCUUACUGCACAUGUGUGAGGACCUGAGCGAGGAUUACCAGGACUGAUGUGGAGCUGGGCUUGGUCAUGAGCACAGUGGUAGGAGGAGGCAGGGACAGGAGCAUCCCCAGAAGUCUGCAAGCCAGUUAGCCUCGCGUAAAUAGCAGUAAACAAAGAGACCCUAUCUUAAGGUAGAAGGGUAAGGACCACCACCCGAGACGGCCCUCCGAGCAUGAGUACCAUGGCAUACUCAUGCUGGUACUAACACACCAUACACACACACACAUACAGGCACGCACGCACGCACGCACACACGCGACUUUUUCAAAAUGUCUCCCAAGAAUUCUUGUAUUGAAAACUUAAUCCCAAAGUCAUAUUUGGAAGUUAUUUAGAGGUAAGGAGGGCCUGUGAGAGCCGAUGAGAAUGAAAUGAGGUCAUGAAGGGAGAGAAAGCCCAGUGAGGUAACUUUGGCACACUUCCUCUCUCUCCCCAUGUGGUACCCUUGGCCUUGUGAUGCAGCAACAAGACCUUUAUCUCUGCUCAUGCUUGAGAGACUUACAAGUUUCAAGACAGUCUAGGAAAUGCAGCAAGACCCCAUCCAAAGAAAAGAAGGAAGACAUAGGCUGGGUGUGUCUCAGUAGUAGAGUGCUUGUCUAGUUUGGUUGCCAAGUCCCUGGUUCCGUACCCAUCAUUAUCAUGAGAGGCAAGAGGAGCAGCAUGCUUCAAGAACUGAACUAAAUAGAUCUUUAUUCUUUUUUUUUAAAUAAUUUAUUUAUUUUUAUUGUAUGUGCAUUGGUGUUUUGCCUGCAUGUAUGUCUGUGUGAGGGUGUCAGAUCUUGGAGUCACAGAUAGGUAUGAGUUGCCGUGUGGGUGCUGGGAAUUGAACCUGGGUCCUCUGGAAGAGCAGUCAGUGCUCUUAACCGCUGAGGCAUCUCUCCAACCCAUCUUUAUUCUUUAUAAAUUGUCUCAUAUUAUAUAUUUUGUUAUAGCAAAAGAAAAUUCAUUCAGGCCAUGUGAAAUGGCCCAGUAAGUAGAGACACCUGCCACCAAGCUUGAUGUCUCGGUGGUUAAGAGCAUUUCCUGCACAUUUAGAACAUCAGAGUUUGGUUUCCCGCCACCUGCAAAAAUCUUAAAAAAAAAAAAAAAAAAAAAGGCCGGGCAGUGGUGGCGCAGGUCUUUAAUCCCAGCACUCAGGAGGCAGAGGCAGGCGGAUCUCUGUGAGUUCAAGGCCAGCCUGGUCUACAGAGUGAGUUCUAGGAUAGCCAGGGCUACACAGAGAAAUCCUGGGGGGCGGGGAGAGAAAAGGAAAAAAAUAACACUGCAAGUUUCUAGAAUAGGAAAAUAUAUAUUAUAUAUUUCACAUAUAAAAAUAUACACAUAUGCAUAUAGUAUCAAUGCUUUCUGACUCUGGAGGUAGAGGCAGGAGGAUCAGAAGUUCAAGGUCAUCCUCAGCAACAUAAGACAUUCAAAUUGCCUAGACUACUUGAGACCCUGUGUGGAGGAGGACAACAAAAAACAAAACAAAAAUGUUAUCUAGAAAUAGUGAGACACAGUCUCCAAAAUUGUAAGGAAGAAAUUAACAAAUUCACAUUUGAUAAAAUGGUAAUCUACUGUAAAGAUAGAGGGUUUUUUUUUUUCAAGUACAAAAUGUCUAAUCUAAGUAUUAUCUCUAGGGAAGGGACUGGAGGGUGUGACAUACAGAAAUAAGGAAGCUAAACAAGAAAGAGGAAGCCACGAGAUACAUAAAGCUAAACCUGAAAAGAGGAGAUACCAAGACAAUGGUUGUAUUGGAGGAGAAGGCACUGGAUUGGAAAGCUCCAGGAAGGAUGGCUUCCAGAAGAUAAGACAGGUACACCUCGAGGAAACUUGAUAAUAAAAAUAGAGAAAAGCAGGCAAACGGAAGGGAAAGCUAUGCAAGUUACGCAUCUAGACCGUGGCCAGCCUGGUCUACAAAGUGAGUCCCAGGCCAGCCCAGGCUACAAACUGAAACCCUGUCUCAACAACAACAAAAAUAAAAUAAUAAACUAAGGCAGGCGUGAUGGCGCACACCUUGAGUCUGAGGCACAGACAAGGAGAAUGUCCACCCAAAGAUGUCAAGGUCAGAGCCCCUGCAGGAGCUUACCCAGGCAUUAUGAACAUGGGAUAUGAAGGAGACUACCCAAAGAGCCAGUUGAUAGAGCUGGAAAAGGUUGAAAGUUGCUUCUGAAAAAGGAAGUGAGCAUAGGCUAUUGGUCUUCUUGUAUUUGGAAAGUCUUGCACAAUUUAGUCAUUUUAAUUGUCUCUAUGUGAAUUGGAAAGAAAGAUAAAACUUAAGCCGGGCCUCCCUUGUGCUAUACACUCCUAAUUCCAGUACUCAAGAGUUGGAGGCAGGAGAUUGCAAGUUUGAAGAUAGCCUGGACUACACAGCAAAACUCUGUCUCAAAAAAAAACAAAAAAAACAAAAAUGAAAAGAAAUGCUGGGUCAUUGAGAUAGCUCAGCUGUAUGACCUGAGUUCAAUCCUCAAACCUACACAGUACAUGGAGAGAACUGACUUUCAAAAGCUGUAGCUUCACAUGAGCGCACAUGCACAAGUGUGUUGCGCACACACACACACAACAUAAAUAAAUAGCAGGGUACGGUGGUAUAUGCCUUUAUUCCCAGCAGCUAGGAGGUAGAGGUAAGCAAAUCUCUGUGAGCUUAAGGCCGAUCUAGUCUACAUACAGCAGAGGUUCUCAAGCCGUGGGUCGUGACCCCUUUGUGGGGGUCGCCUAAGACCAUCAGAAAACACACAUAUUUGCAUUCCGAUUCAUAACACUAGCAAAAUGACAGCUCGUGAAGUAGCAGUGGAAAUUAUUUCAUGGCUGUGGGUCACCACAACGUGAGAACUAACUGUAUGUAAGGGUCCCAGCGUGAGGAAGAUUGAGAACCAUAGAGAGUUCCAGAACAGCCAGGGCUACAUAAUGAGACCUUGCCUCAAACAUGAGUGCGUGCCAGAAAAAAUGCUGAUCCCUUCAAAGAAUAAAUUAAUAAACCAGACAAGUGUCCAGCAAACGACUGACCAAUAAAAAAGAAAGAAUUCAAACAGCGUUAGGGAACAAAUCUGCAGCCUCUAUUUAUUUACCCCUAGAGUUUAGCACCCUGGCUCCAGCUCUGUGCACUCAACAGUUCAGCUGAAACGUAGCUCUAGAUAGCAAAAAAAAAUACUAAAAUCGACCCCAAAAUAGUCAAACUAAACCAACAGCUAUUAAAAUUCUGCAUUGCUAAUCGAGGUAUCUGUUCCAGGUGGUUUAAGAAAACUUUUUCUGAAACUUUCCAAGUAUAAAUAAACAUGGUCUUAAACCAAUGUUUUCAGUUC